rnacentral:rRNA from 1 species
AUACGGAGGGUGCUAGCGUUGUUCGGAAUUACUGGGCGUAAAGCGCGCGUAGCCGGAUCGUUAAGUCAGGGGUGAAAGCCCGGAGCUCAACUCCGGAACUGCCCUUGAUACUGGCGAUCUCGAGUCCGGGAGAGGUGAGCGGAAUUCCUAGUGUAGAGGUGAAAUUCGUAGAUAUUAGGAGGAACACCAGUGGCGAAGGCGGCUCACUGGCCCGGUACUGACGCUGAGGUGCGAAAGCGUGGGGAGCAAACAGGAUUAGAUACCCUAGUAGUCC